rnacentral:rRNA from 1 species
UACACGUGAGAUUACUUAGAGGGAUAACAAUCGAACGAUGCUAUCCCAUAUGCCUUCGAGUGAAAUGGAUUUAUAUUUAUCCGCCUAGAGAGAAGCUCGCGGCUGAUUAGCUUGUUGGUAAGGUAAGAGCUUACCAAGGCGACGAUCAGUAUCUGGUUUGAGAGGACGAUCAGACACACUGGAACUGAGACACGGUCCAGACUCCUACGGGAGGCAGCAGUGGGGAAUUUUCCGCAAUGGGCGAAAGCNUGACGGAGCAAUACCGCGUGAGGGAAGACUGCCUAUGGGNNGUAAACCUCCNNUUUCAGGGAGGAAUAAAAUGACGUGUACCUGAAGAAUAA